CAUGCCCGAGUGGUCUAAGGGGGUCGUCUUAAGAACGACUGUUUAUACAAGCGCGUGGGUUCAAACCCCACUGGU
rnacentral:tRNA from 1 species